GACGAACGCUGGCGGCGUGCUUAACACAUGCAAGUCGAACGGAAAGGCCCUGCUUUUGUGGGGUGCUCGAGUGGCGAACGGGUGAGUAAAACGUGAGUAACCUGCCCUUGACUUUGGGGUAACUUCAGGAAAAUGGGGCUAAUAUCGGAGAGGAGCUCCUGCUGCAUGGGGGGGGUUGGAAAGUUUCGGCGGUUGGGGAUGGACUCGAGGCUUAUCAGCUUGUUGGUGGGGUAGUGGCGUACAAAGGCUUUGACGGGUAGCAGGCCUGAGAGGGUGACCGGCCACAUUGGGACUGAGAUACGGCCCAGACUCCUACGGGAGGCAGCAGUGGGGAAUAUUGCACAAUGGGCGGACGCCUGAUGCAGCAACGCCGCGUGCGGGAUGACGUCCUUCGGGUUGUAAACCGCUUUCGCCUGUGACGAAGCGUGAGUGACGGUAAUGGGUAAAGAAGCACCGGCUAACUACGUG
rnacentral:rRNA from 1 species